ACAUUCAUUCCCCAGCUUGCAGAGAGCCAAGUCAGGAAUGUCCGCUAGUAGAACAAGGGCCUCAUCACCCCAGGAACGGAAAUGAGGAAGUAGGAAGAAGAUACCACAGCUUAGCGCGUUUCGGUGGGAGUACAUCAGCGCAAACGGACCUCAGAAACUGCCGUACCCCCUGAUGGUGCUGGACCGGUGACUUUGUGUCUAGGAAAUAUUCAGGUUUCUCUGGUUUCCGCCGCUGUGCUGUGUACUUCGGAUUAGCUGGCUGAGUGUUUCUGGAAGAUUCUCUUCCCUCUGUCUUCCAGUUCACCGUAGGGAUGUUGGGACGACAGAUGUCCACCACACCACCACCA
rnacentral:lncRNA from 1 species